CCUACGGGAGGCAGCAGUGAGGAAUAUUGGUCAAUGGGCGGAAGCCUGAACCAGCCAAGUAGCGUGCAGGAUGACGGCCCUACGGGUUGUAAACUGCUUUUAUACGGGAAUAACGCGCCUUACGUGUAGGGCUUUGCAUGUACCGUAUGAAUAAGGACCGGCUAAUUCCGUGCCAGCAGCCGCGGUAAUACGGAAGGUCCGGGCGUUAUCCGGAUUUAUUGGGUUUAAAGGGAGCGUAGGCCGCAUGUCAAGCGUGCUGUGAAAUGUCCGGGCUCAACCGCGCCCCGCAGUUGAAACUGGACGCCUUGAGUUCACAACAGGCAGGCGGAAUUCGUGGUGUAGCGGUGAAAUGCAUAGAUAUCACGAGGAACCCCGAUUGCGAAGGCAGCCUGCCGGGGUGCGACUGACGCUGAGGCUCGAAGGUGCGGGUAUCAAACAGGAUUAGAUACCCUUGUAGUC
rnacentral:rRNA from 1 species